UACGGAGGGUGCAAGCGUUAAUCGGAAUUACUGGGCGCAAAGCGUGCGUAGGCGGUUCGUUAAGUCUGUUGUGAAAGCCCCGGGCUCAACCUGGGAAUGGCAAUGGAUACUGGCGAGCUAGAGUGUGUCAGAGGAUGGUGGAAUUCCCGGUGUAGCGGUGAAAUGCGUAGAGAUCGGGAGGAACAUCAGUGGCGGAAGGCGGCCAUCUGGGACAACACUGACGCUGAGGCACGAAAGCGUGGGGAGCAAACGGGG
rnacentral:rRNA from 1 species